rnacentral:rRNA from 1 species
GAUUCUGGCUCAGAACGAACGCUGGCGGCGCGUCUUAAGCAUGCAAGUCGAACGGCAAGAGGUAGCAAUACCUCCUAGAGUGGCGGACUGGUGAGUAACACGUGGGUGACAUACCCUUCAGAUGAGGAUAGCUAUUAGAAAUAGUAGAUAAUACCGAAUACGAGCACAGGGGUUAGAGAUCUGUGAGGAAAGGAGCUAAGGCUCCGCUGAAGGAAUGGCCUGCGGCCCAUUAGCUAGUUGGUGAGGUAAGAGCCCACCAAGGCGAUGAUGGGUAUCCGGCCUUAGAGGGUGAACGGACACAUUGGGACUGAGAUACGGCCCAGACUCCUACGGGAGGCAGCAGCUAAGAAUAUUCCGCAAUGGACGAAAGUCUGACGGAGCGACGCCGCCGUGGAUGAAGAAGGCCGGAAGGUUGUAAAAUCCUUUUGAAACUGAAGAAUAAGCGUUGUAGGGAAUGACAGCGUGGUGACAGUAGGUUUUGAAUAAGCAACGGCUAAUUACGUGCCAGCCGCCGC